ensembl:lncRNA
CCACCACUACCACAACAGCACCCACAACAGCUCCAGAAACUACCACAACAGCUGCUGCAACUACCAUAACAGCUGUAUCAACUACCACAACAGCUGCUGCAACCACUACAACAGCACCCACAAGAGCUCCAGAAACUACCACAACAGCUGCUGCAACCACCACAACAGCUCCAGCAUCUACCACAACAGCUCCCACCACUACCACAACAGCACCUACAAGAGCUCCAGAAACUACCACAACAGCUGCUGCAACCACCACAACAGCCCCAAUAACAGCUGCAGCAAUUACCACAACAGCUACCACCACUACCACAACAGCACCCACAACAGCUCCAGAAACUAGCACAACAGCUGCUGCAACCACCACAACAGCUCCAGCAAGCACCACAACAGCUGCUGCAACUACCACAACAGCUGCUACAACCACCCCAACAGCUGCUGCAACUACCACAAGAGCUGCAUCAACUACCACAACAGCUCCAGCAACCACAACAACAGCUCCAGCAACCACCACAACAGCGGCUGCACCUACCACAACAGCUGCUGCAACCACCACAACAGCUCCAGCAACUACCACAACAGCUCCAGCAUCUACCACAACAGCUCCAGAAACUACCACAACAGCUGCUGCAACCACCACAACAGCUGCUGCAACUACCACAACAGCUCCUGCAACUACAACAACGGAAGCCACAACAGAACCCACAACAUCUGCCACCACUACCACAAAGGCCCCUACAACAGCUAUUGCAAGCACCACAACAGCCCCCUUUACAGCUGCAGCAAUUACCACAACAACUACCACCACUACCACAACAGCACCCACAACAGCUUCAGAAACUACCAAAACAGCUGCUGCAACUACCACAACAGCUCCAGCAACCACCACAACAGCUGCUGCAACUACCACAAGAGCUACUAAAACCACCACAAAAGCUGCUUCAACUACCACAACAGCUGCAGCAACUACUAAAACAGCUGCUGCAAAAACCACAACAGCACCCACAGCAGCUCGCACCACCACCACAACAGCUGCUGCAACUAAAACAACGGCAGCCACAACAGAACCCACAACAUCUGCCACCACUACCACAAAGGCCCCCACAACAGCUGCUGCAACCACCACAACAGCCCCCAUAACAACUUCAGCAAUUACCACAACAGCUACCACUACUACCACAACAGCUCACGCAUCUACCACAACAGCUCUCACAACAGCUCCCACCACUACCACAACAGCUCCACAAACUUACACAACAGCGGCUGCAACCAACACAAUAGCUAUUGCAAGUACCACAACAGCUUUAGCAACUACCACAACAGAACCCACAACAUCUGCCACCACUACCAUAAAGGCCCCCACAACAGCUGCUGCAACCACCACAACAGCCCCCUUUACAACUGCAGCAAUUACCACAACGACUACCACCACUACCACAACAGCACCAACAACAGCUCCAGAAACUACCACAACAGCUGCUGCAACCACCACAACAGCUCCCGCAACUACCACAACAGCUCCAGAAACAACCAAAACAGCUGCUACAACCACCACAACAGCACCAGUAACUACCACAACAGCUGCUUCAACCACCAAAACAGCUCCAGCAACCACCACAACAGCUGCUGCAACUACCACAACCGCUCCAGUAGCCACUACAACAGCUGCUGCAACUACCACAAGAGCUACUGCAACCACCACAACAGCUGCUUCAACUACCACAACAGCUGCAGCAACUACCACAACAGCUGCUGCAACCACCACAACAGCACCCACAGCAGCUCCCACCACUACCACAACAGCUGCUGCAACUACAACAAUGGCAGCCACAACAGAACCCACAUCUGCCACCACUACCACAAAGGGCCCCACAACAGCUGCUACAACUACCACAACAGCUGCGGCAACUACCACAACAGCCCCCACAACCACCACGACCAACACAACAGCCCCCACAACAGCACCCACCACGACCACCACAACAGCCCCCACAACAACCACCACGACCACCACAACAGCCCCCACAACAACAACGAAUGGCACAGCCAUCAGCGGCAGCAACUCUGGUGACGUCAGCAGCAGGAUCAGCCUCUUCACCACCUUCAGCCUCACCCUCCUCUCCGUGCUCGUCACACGGCCGUGGUAGCCG